UCGUGGAUCCCUCAAGGGAGUUCCUGGACCUUCUCAGAGCUGUCCACACCCAGACGCCUUCCUGUCAGCCCUGACCACCUGGGGAUUAACCAGAAGAGCCAGGCUGUUACCUAGCAAGCCGGCUGCCUCAACCCCAGGCAAUACGUCCACACCCAACUUUAUACUGAUGCUGGGAAUGGAACCCAGGGCUUUGUGCACGCUAGGCAAGCACUCUACCAGCUGAGCCACAUCUCCAGCUAAAGGCACCAUCGAGAAGGGACUUCUGCUCAUCAAAGUGCUGACUUUACCACCCCUUCCUGCUGUCUCUGCCUUCGCUCCACUAUGAGAUGAGCCACUUUGCACCAUUCUGAACUUGCUACCAUGAUGGUUGGCCUUACCGCAGGCAAGGAAGCAACUGGACAGAAGUCAGAUCUUGAGUGAAGGAGCUCUCAGGAGCUGGGGUAACCUCCCCACGAGAUGACUCAGGGAGGCAGGGGUGCGGGGUGGUGGUGGGGGAAUGAAGCAUAUAUAGUGGGCAGUUGAC